rnacentral:rRNA from 1 species
CAGGCUUAACACAUGCAAGUCGAGGGGCAUCAGGAAGAAAGCUUGCUUUCUUUGCUGGCGACCGGCGCACGGGUGAGUAACACGUAUCCAACCUGCCCUUUACUCGGGGAUAGCCUUUCGAAAGAAAGAUUAAUACCCGAUGGCAUAAUGAUUCCGCAUGGUUUCAUUAUUAAAGGAUUCCGGUAAAGGAUGGGGAUGCGUUCCAUUAGGUUGUUGGUGAGGUAACGGCUCACCAAGCCUUCGAUGGAUAGGGGUUCUGAGAGGAAGGUCCCCCACAUUGGAACUGAGACACGGUCCAAACUCCUACGGGAGGCAGCAGUGAGGAAUAUUGGUCAAUGGGCGCUAGCCUGAACCAGCCAAGUAGCGUGAAGGAUGAAGGCUCUAUGGGUCGUAAACUUCUUUUAUAUAAGAAUAAAGUGCAGUAUGUAUACUGUUUUGUAUGUAUUAUAUGAAUAAGGAUCGGCUAACUCCGUGCCAGCAGCCGCGGUAAUACGGAGGAUCCGAGCGUUAUCCGGAUUUAUUGGGUUUAAAGGGAGCGUAGGUGGACUGGUAAGUCAGUUGUGAAAGUUUGCGGCUCAACCGUAAAAUUGCAGUUGAUACUGUCAGUCUUGAGUACAGUAGAGGUGGGCGGAAUUCGUGGUGUAGCGGUGAAAUGCUUAGAUAUCACGAAGAACUCCGAUUGCGAAGGCAGCUCACUGGACUGCAACUGACACUGAUGCUCGAAAGUGUGGGUAUCAAACAGGAUUAGAUACCCUGGUAGUCCACACAGUAAACGAUGAAUACUCGCUGUUUGCGAUAUUACAGUAAGCGGCCAAGCGAAAGCAUUAAGUAUUCCACCUGGGGAGUACGCCGGCAACGGUGAAACUCAAAGGAAUUGACGGGGGCCCGCACAAGCGGAGGAACAUGUGGUUUAAUUCGAUGAUACGCGAGGAACCUUACCCGGGCUUAAAUUGCAGUGGAAUGAUGUGGAAACAUGUCAGUGAGCAAUCACCGCUGUGAAGGUGCUGCAUGGUUGUCGUCAGCUCGUGCCGUGAGGUGUCGGCUUAAGUGCCAUAACGAGCGCAACCCUUAUCUUUAGUUACUAACAGGUUAUGCUGAGGACUCUAGAGAGACUGCCGUCGUAAGAUGUGAGGAAGGUGGGGAUGACGUCAAAUCAGCACGGCCCUUACGUCCGGGGCUACACACGUGUUACAAUGGGGGGUACAGAAGGCAGCUAGCGGGUGACCGUAUGCUAAUCCCAAAAGCCUCUCUCAGUUCGGAUCGAAGUCUGCAACCCGACUUCGUGAAGCUGGAUUCGCUAGUAAUCGCGCAUCAGCCACGGCGCGGUGAAUACGUUCCCGGGCCUUGUACACACCGCCCGUCAAGCCAUGGGAGCCGGGGGUACCUGAAGUACGUAACCGCAAGGAUCGUCCUAGGGUAAAACUGGUGACUGGGGC